UGUAUAACAAAUCUUAUAUAUUAUAUAAUUGUAAUAAGAAAAUUUUAGUAAAUAAAGUAAUUUUAAAUAUAAAAUUAAGUAAUGUAUAAUGAAACUAAAAAUUAAUAUUAUAGUAUAAAAGUACCGUGAGGGAAAGAAAACAAGUAACAAUAUUCAGUAGAAAAUAUAAAUAAUUGUACCUUUGGUAUCAGGGAUAAUCAAAAUUAAUUAAUCAGUUUUAAUGGUCUCGAAUUAAGAACAGCUAAUUUAAUAUUAAGUUUCUGUAGAAAAAGAAUUUAUAAUUUUAGAUUAAAAGUGAAAAGCUAACCGAGUCUUAGAUAUCUAGUUUUUAAGGAAAUAAAUUUAAUUUAGGUUUUAUAGUAAACUUAUAUUAAAUUCUAAAAAUAGGAGGGAUUAGCUUCUUAUUCUGAAUAAUAGCAAUUAAUUCUUUUUAGUUUACUAGGCUUAAAAGUAGCCAUGAGUGGAGAAUAUGUUUUAAUUUAGGUGGAUAAAAAUAAUUAUUUAUAAUAAUUGCUUUGUUUAUUUACUUGAAUAUUAAAUUUAAUUAAAUUAUUUGAUAAAUCAUGAUUGUAUUAGUAUAGUUUGUUAUUAAAGAGAGAAGUAAAUUAUAAUGUAAAAUUAUAAAUCAACGGAAGAUAAAAUUAAAGAAUUCGGCAAAAAUGUUUUCUGCCUGUUUAUCAAAAACAUGUCUAUUUGGAGAUGUAAAUAGUCAGGCCUGCUCACUGACUGAAUUUGUUUAAGAGCCGCGGUAUUCUGACCGUGCAAAGGUAGCAUAAUCAUUAGUUUUUUAAUUGAAAACUGGUAUGAAAGGUUAGACAAGAAAAAAGCUGUUUCAAUUAUAAUUUUUGAAUUUAACUUUUAAGUGAGAAGGCUUAAAUUACUUAGAGGGACGAUAAGACCCUAUAAAGCUUUAUAUAAAUAUUAAAGUUGAUUGAAGUUGUAUUAAAAGUUAAUAAUAAGUAAUAUAUUUUGUUGGGGCGACAUAAGUAUAAUUUUUAUAACUGCUUAUAUUUUAUGAUCAUUUAUAAAUGGAUAAAUUUUAGAUGACCCUAUAUUAUAGAUUUAAAGAUUAAGUUACUUUAGGGAUAACAGCGUUAUUUUACUUGAGAGUUCUUAUCGAAAGUGAAGUUUGCGACCUCGAUGUUGAAUUAAAGUUUCUGUAUAAUGCAGCCGUUAUAUAAGAAGGUCUGUUCGACCUUUAAAUUUUUACAUGAUUUGAGUUCAGACCGGUGUAAGCCAGGUCGGUUUCUAUCUUCUAAUUUUUAAAAAAUUAUUUUAGUACGAAAGGAUUAAAUAAUUUAAAAUUUUUAUAAACAUGUAAAAAAAU
rnacentral:rRNA from 1 species